UACGGGGGGGGCAAGCGUUGUUCGGAAUUACUGGGCGUAAAGGGCCAGUAGGCGGCCAACUAAGUCCGACGUGAAAUCCCAAGGCUUAACCUUGGAACUGCGUCGGAUACUGGAUGGCUUGAAUUCGGGAGAGGGAUGCAGAAUUCCAGGUGUAGCGGUGAAAUGCGUAGAUAUCAGGAAGAACACCCGUGGCGAAGGCGGUUCUCUGGGACGGUACUGACGCUGAGACGCGAAAGCGUGGGGAGCGAACAGG
rnacentral:rRNA from 1 species